UAACUUGCCCUUGGGUCUGGGAUAACCCCUGGGAAACUGGGGCUAAUACCGGAUAGAGCAUCGAUCGCUGGAAUGCCUGAUGCUCGAAAACUACGGUGCCCAAGGAUAGGUCUGCGGCUGAUUAGGUUGUUGUUGAUGUAAUGGACCAACAAGCCUACGAUCGGUACGGGUUGUGAGAGCAAUAGCCCGGAGAUGGGUUCUGAGAAAAGAACCCAGGUCCUACGGGACGCAUCAGGCGCGAAAACUUUACACUGUGCGAAAGCACGAUAAGGGAACUCUGAGUGCCUCCUAAGGAGGCUGUUCUAGUGUCUAAAAAGCAAUAGAAGUAAGGGCUGGGCAAGACCGGUGCCAGCCGCCGCGGUAACACCGGCAGCCCAAGUGGUAGCCACGUUUAUUGGGUCUAAAGCGUUCGUAGCCGGCUUGGUAAGUUCCUUGGUAAAUUUAGCCGCUUAACGGUUAAGCUUUCAGGGAAUACUGCUUAGCUUGGGACUGGGAGAGGUCAGAGGUACUCCAGGGGUAGGGGUGAAAUCCAUUAAUCCUUGGGGGACCACCGGUAGCGAAGGCGUCUGACCAGACCAGCUCCGACGGUGAGGGACGAAGGCUAGGGGCGCGAACCGGAUUAGAUACCCGGGUAGUCCUAGCUGUAAACGAUGCGGGCUAGGUGUUGGCAUUACUGCGAGUGGUGCCAGUGCCGAAGGGAAGCCGUUAAGCUCGCCAUCUGGGGAGUACGGUCGCAAGGCUWAACUUAA
rnacentral:rRNA from 1 species